UUUUAUCAGAGAGUUUGAUCCUGGCUCAGGAUGAACGCUGGCGGCGUGCUUAACACAUGCAAGUCGAACGGGAAUUACUUUAUUGAAACUUCGGUCGAUUUAAUUUAAUUCUAGUGGCGGACGGGUGAGUAACGCGUGGGUAACCUGCCUU
rnacentral:rRNA from 1 species